rnacentral:rRNA from 1 species
GACGAACGCUGGCGGCGUGCCUAAUACAUGCAAGUCGAGCGCAGGAAGCCGUCUGAACCCUUCGGGGGGACGACGGUGGAAUGAGCGGCGGACGGGUGAGUAACACGUAAAGAACCUGCCCAUAGGUCUGGGAUAACCACGAGAAAUCGGGGCUAAUACCGGAUGUGUCAUCGGACCGCAUGGCCCGAUGAUGAGAGGCGCUCCGGCGUCGCCCAUGGAUGGCUUUGCGGUGCAUUUGCCAGUGGGUGAGGUAACGGCCCACCAAGGCGACGUUGCAUAGCCGACCUGAGAGGGUGAUCGGCCACACUGGGACUGAGACACGGCCCAGACUCCUACGGGAGGCAGCAGUAGGGAAUUUUCCACAAUGGACGAAAGUCUGAUGGAGCAACGCCGCGUGAACGAUGAAGGCUUUCGGGUCGUAAAGUUCUGUUGUAAGGGAAGAACAAGUGCCGCAGGCAAUGGCGGCACCUUGACGGUACCUUGCGAGAAAGCCACGGCUAACUACGUGCCAGCAGCCGCCGUAA